UUUCCGUAGGUGAACCUGCGGAAGGAUCAUUACCGAGUUAGGGUCCCUCCCACGGGGCCCGACCUCCCAACCCUUUGUGAAUCAAACCUGUUGCUUCGGGGGCGACCCUGCCGUUCGCGGCGCGGCGCCCCCGGGGGAAAUCAAACACUGCGUCAAUUUGUGUCGGAGUACUUGUUAAUAAACAAAACUUUCAACAACGGAUCUCUUGGUUCUGGCAUCGAUGAAGAACGCAGC
rnacentral:misc_RNA from 1 species